UUCCAAAGUGUUGAGUUCAGUUCAGGGCAGCUCCCCUGUUCUGCUAAUUAAACUUUGGAACAUUGAAGCCCAGGCUGUGGGAGAUGUUUGGAUAGGAAGCAUUACUCUAUUCAGUUUGGUCCCACAGCCUACAGAA